rnacentral:rRNA from 1 species
CCUACGGGAGGCAGCAGUGAGGAAUAUUGGUCAAUGGGCGAGAGCCUGAACCAGCCAAGUCGCGUGAGGGAGUACUGCCCUAUGGGUUGUAAACCUCUUUUGUCGGGGAGCAAAAGCCGGACGUGUCCGGCUGUGAGAGUACCCGAAGAAAAAGCAUCGGCUAACUCCGUGCCAGCAGCCGCGGUAAUACGGAGGAUGCGAGCGUUAUACGGAUUUAUUGGGGUUAAAGGGUGCGCAGGCGGAUUUUUAAGUCAGCGGUCAAAUCGUGGGGCUCAACCCCAUCCAGAAGUUGAAACUGGGGAUCUAGAGUGUGCGAGAGGUAUGCGGAAUGCGUGGUGUAGCGGUGAAAUGCAUAGAUAUCACGCAGAACCCCGAUUGCGAAGGCAGCAUACCGGUGCACAACUGACGCUCAGGCACGAAAGCGUGGGUAUCGAACAGGAUUAGAUACCCUUGUAGUC